GAUGAACGCUGGCGGCGUGCUUAACACAUGCAAGUCGAACGGGAUCCAAGGGGUGCUUGCACUUUUUGGUGAGAGUGGCGAACGGGUGAGUAACACGUGAGUAACCUGUCCUUUUCUUUGGGAUAAGCAUUCGAAAGGGUGUUUAAUACCUUAUGUUCUGUCUGCCUCGCAUGGGGUGGGUGGGAAAGGCUUUGGCCGGAUUUGGGUGGGCUCGCGGUCUAUCAGCUUGUUGGUGGGGUGAUGGCUUACCAAGGCUUUGACGGGUAGCCGGCCUGAGAGGGUGGUCGGUCAGAGUGAGGGUGAGGAACCGCCCAGACGCCAGCAGUAGGCAGCAGUGGGCGAUAUGCCACAGUGGGAGAAAGCCAGACGCAGCGAGGCAGCAUGGUGUUUGGAGGGUAUCGGGUUGUAAUCUGCGUAGGCCCUGUACGAGGCAUGCCAGGCAGUGUGUGAAGUGAAGGAGUUGAUAAGCGCCGGCUAACUACGUG
rnacentral:rRNA from 1 species